rnacentral:rRNA from 1 species
UACGUAGGGGGCGAGCGUUGUCCGGAGUUACUGGGCGUAAAGCGCACGCAGGCGGUCUGCUAAGUUUGGAGUGACAGUUGGUGGCUUAACUGCCAAAGUGCUUCGAAAACUGACAGACUUGAGGGCUUCAGAGGGACACGGAAUCCGGGUGGAGUGGUGAAAUGCGUAGAGAUCCGGAGGAACACCAAAGGCGAAGGCAGUGUCCUGGGGAGUACCUGAC